rnacentral:lncRNA from 13 species
CCGCGACGAAAUGUCACUACCGUCAACGCGGAGUUCUCGGCUGAGAAGUCAGGAGCCUUAACCUUAUAAUCCUAAAAUACAAUAAAUUUGAUGAUAAAUCAGUCAAUAGUCAAAGGAAUAACCAAUUAUUUUACCAAUUAUUUUUGAUAUUUUUUAAAAAUCGGAACUUUUAUCCCCGGUCUCCCUACAAUUAAUUCGUAGCGGAAUUAUUUAAAUAUUGCUUGACAGCUCCGCGUCUCAAAACAGAACAAAAGCCGGCCGCGCUUCUUUUAUUAAAUCGAUCGAUCUUCCUUCGGCCAGCUUCUCAAGCUCAGCCGAAAAGCGGGCAUAACAAUAUCUCAAAUUUUUUGUAUGAAUUGGAACAUCUUUUAUAAAUGUUAAAAUAAUUUGAAAAAUUGGACCUUAAAAUUUUUCAGAUUUUUUUCAAUUGACAGCAAGGAUUAACAAUAUCAAAUAAAGAAAUAUUAAGCCCAAUAAGGACUGUUAGACACAUUUUGUAAGGAAAUGUUAUUUCUUCGAGAAAAGAAGCGUAAUCGAUUCUGGCUGGGCUACAGCUGCAUUAGAAAUUCUACUAUAGUUUCUCCUACCAACUGUUAGCCUGUGUUAGACUGCGUUUCGAAAUUAACUGCUGGUAUUAAAAUCCAUAGUACAUAGUUAUACAAAGAGAAGACUGAGAGUAAUUUACUGAAAUAAUAUUGGAACGCGUAGCUGUAUCUUUUGUUCAGAAAUGAUUCGGAGAAAGAGCGUCUUAAAUACUUUUAAGUACUAGUCUUUAUACAAUCUAUAUGCGCCUGUGGAAGGUUUAUAUACAUAUAUACAGUUGCAUAUAUUUUGCAAUACUUUCUCUUUAUUGUGAAUAAAUAUAAUUUUAUAACGAAA